UACGUAGGUGGCGAGCGUUGUCCGGAUUUACUGGGCGUAAAGAGCGCGCAGGCGGCUGGUCAAGUCCGAUGUGAAAGCUCCCGGCUUAACUGGGAAAUUGCAUCGGAAACUGAUCGGCUGGAUGGUGGGAGAGGGUAGCGGAAUUCCCGGUGUAGUGGUGAAAUGCGUAGAUAUCGGAAGGAACAUCAGUGGCGAAAGCGACUUCCUGGACCAAUACUGACGCUCAUGUGCGAAAGCGUGGGGAGCAAACAGG
rnacentral:rRNA from 1 species